CAGCACCUCAAGUGGUCAGGAUGAUUAUUGGGCCUAAAGCAUCCGUAGCCUGCUUUGUUAGUUUUCGGUUAAAUCCAUACGCUCAACGUAUGGGCUGCCGGGAAUACUGCAAAGCUAGGGAGUGGGAGAGGUAGACGGUACUCGGUAGGAAGGGGUAAAAUCCUUUGAUCUAUUGAUGACCACCUGUGGCGAAGGCGGUCUACCAGAACACGUCCGACGGUGAGGGAUGAAAGCUGGGGGAGCAACCCGGAUUAGAUACCCGAGUAGUCC
rnacentral:rRNA from 1 species